GAUGAAGAACGCAGCGAAAUGCGAUAAGUAAUGUGAAUUGCAGAAUUCAGUGAAUCAUCGAAUCUUUGAACGCACAUUGCGCCCGCCAGUAUUCUGGCGGGCAUGCCUGUCCGAGCGUCAUUUCAACCCUCGAACCCCUCCGGGGGGUCGGCGUUGGGGAUCGGCACUUACCUGCCGGCCCCGAAAUACAGUGGCGGUCUCGCCGCAGCCUCUCCUGCGCAGUAGUUUGCACACUCGCACCGGGAGCGCGGCGCGUCCACGGCCGUAAAACAACCCAAACUUCUGAAAUGUUGACCUCGGAUCAGGUAGGAAUACCCGCUGAACUUAAGCAUAUCAAUAAGCGGAGA
rnacentral:misc_RNA from 1 species